rnacentral:rRNA from 1 species
AGAGGGUGCAAGCGUUGUUCGGAAUUACUGGGCGUAAAGCGUGCGUAGUCGGUAUUGAGAGUCACGGGUGAAAUCCCCAAGCUUAACUUGGGAACUGCCUGUGGGACCUCAGUACUAGAGUGUGAGAGGGGAUAGUGGAAUACCCAGUGUAGCGGUGAAAUGCGUAGAGAUUGGGUGGAACACCGGUGGCGAAGGCGGCUAUCUGGCUCACAACUGACGAUCAGGCACGAAAGCGUGGGGAACAAACAGGAUUAGAUACCCUGGUAGUCCACGCCGUAAACUAUGCACACAAGAUGUAGUGGGGUUUUACUCCUGCUGUGUCGAAGCUAACGCAAUUAGAGUGCCGCCUGGGGAGUACGGUCGCAAGACUA